AACGCACGAGACCUGCGGACCUGCGGAGGGAUCAUUAUUGAAUCUUAGUUUGUAGGAGUUGUUGCUGGCUCUUUGGAGCAUGUGCACACUCUUACGUCCUAAUAUCCAUCCACCUGUGCACUUUUUGUAGACUUUGGGAUAUCUCUCAGGCUGUUGUUUAGCUUUGGCUUUGAAGAUUGUUAUUUCACAUAAUCUCUCUUCAAAUUUCCCCAAGUCUAUGUUAACAUUAUACUCUAUUGA
rnacentral:misc_RNA from 1 species